UUUGAACUUAGAAAUGUUGUUUUUCGAUGGAGACAAGUCAUAUUUGGCAUUAUAGAGUUGCGGACUCGAAAAUGACCGAAUUUUGACUUAGAACGAAGAAACGAGUGUUGAACGUUCACGAACGUUUAUUGUUUUCGUUAAAAAUGAACAUGUUAGUUCCUAGGGAGCACAAUAUAGAUCUAGAAGGGGGGUUGAAUAGAUCCUUUUUAAUUUCAUAUACUUUUCUCAUUUAUUUUGUUUUGCUCAUGAAUUAGCAUAUGACAAACAUAAGAAUCUUUUCAAGUACAGCGGAAUAAGUAAAAGAUCCCCUUCAUUGAUAUAUUCGUGAUCAGACAUACAUUGUUCAUAGAGUUAAUUCAGUAGUAAGCAGUUAAAACAUACAUAGCAGUUAUAGCAGUUAAUGUACAUAAUGUAAAUGACAUAAAGUAAAAGAUACAAGGGGUUUUAAGUGGUUCAGAGACUCAAGCUCCUAAUUCACUCUUCUGCUUUUAACUAGCAAGAUUUCCACUAAGGAAGGGCAGCACCCUGAAUCACUAAGAUUCCUUCAAGGCCAGCAACCUUGGGACUUCUGUGGCGACCCCAAAUCCGGAUACUUGAAACCCGAACUUGGUUCUCCACGAUACCAUUUCUUUAAGCUGAAUAAUACUAAAUAAUAAUAAUAAUAUAAUUCGAACUUAAUUUACAUACAUCAAAGUUUACUUUCCCAGGUACGUGACCUUCAAAUACAUUCCUUACAAUACCUGACAAUAGAUUCCAUUGUCUUACUAACUAUAACCAUUAACUCAUACUAAAUCUCAUUCGAACAGCUUUUCUUUUCCCUUGUUCGUGCCUGAGCCUUCAGGUCGAUCGUAGGUAACUGAAAACAUUUAGUUUAAGCAAGGAUGAGCAUUUGAGUGCCCAGCAAGUAAUAGCAAUUAUAUAUAUAAGCUGAAAGAAUAUAAGUAUUCUCUUUACAUAACACUUCUACAACGAAUCGAAA
rnacentral:lncRNA from 1 species